rnacentral:rRNA from 1 species
AUGAACCCCUCGUCGGCCCCGGGUCCGGAUGGUUUACCAGUAAAAUUUUUCAAAUCAUUCUGGCAAACCAUCAAGCCGGAGUUCAUGGCCCUCUUCGACGAAUUCUUUUCGGGGACCAUGGACCUUGGGCGCCUGAACUAUGGGGUCAUCACCCUCAUUCCGAAAGUUCCGGGCACUUCGGACAUCCGCCAGUUUCACCCUAUCACUGUGAUCAAUGCGAUUUUCCGGAUUUUGGCUAAAGUGUACGCCAAUAGGGUGACCCUUAUAGCUGACUCCAUCACCCACCCCAACCAAUCUGCUUUCAUCCAAGGGCGGUUUAUUUUGGAUGUGGUCUUGGUCUUCCACAAAGUCCUUCAUGAAGUCCGGGCCAAGCACCUUCAUGCGGCCUUCCUGAAACUCGACUUCCAUAAAGCCUAUGAUAUGGUUCACUGGCCCUUCCUUCGGGAAGUCUUGCUCUGCAAGGGUUUCGACGAUCGGUGGGUGACCCGCAUUAUGCAGCUCGUCUCCCGCGGUUAA